AGCGAACGCUGGCGGCAGGCCUAACACAUGCAAGUCGAACGAACCUUUCGGGGUUAGUGGCGGACGGGUGAGGAACACGUGGGAACGUGCCUUUAGGUUCGGAAUAACUCAGGGAAACUUGUGCUAAUACCGAAUGUGCCCUUCGGGGGAAAGAUUAAUCGCCUUUAGAGCGGCCCGCGUCUGAUUAGCUAGUUGGUUGAGGUAAUGGCUCACCAAGGCGACGAUCAGUAGCUGGUCUGAGAGGAGGAUCAGCCACAUUGGGACUAGGACGCAGCCCAAACUCCUACGGGAUGCAGCAGUGGGGGAUCUUGCGCAAUGGGCGAAGGCCUGACGCAGCCAUGCCGCGUGAAUGAUGAAGGUCUUGGGAUUGUAAAAUUCUUUCACCGGGGACGAUAAUGACGGUACCCGGAGAAGAAGCCCCGGCUAACUUCGUG
rnacentral:rRNA from 1 species